CAAAGACAAUCACAACAGGUGUAGACGGUCCGCGUAUUAAACGUCACCAGGGGAAUAAAACGAUGAAUUCCCCCCGUUUCGACGAACGGAGGAAAGACCAGCUGAUCUGACCCGACCUGACAACUAAACCAAAAUACAACAUAAUCCAGAUGGCUGUUUUACGGUACAGUAAUGCUCCUUAAUGUAUAUUUAAAUAUGGUAACACUAUUUGUUAACACAGAAGAUAUGGAAUAUCAGACGGAUUAUCCAAUUAAUAAAACGAUUACUAAGAGACUUGGCCUCUAUUUUGUUUAAUAGUUUGUGCCGUUGGGUGUUUUACAAGUAAUUAACAAUAAUUUAGUCUUAUCAGUAAAGCUUUGCUCAAUUCACUUGAUUCGGUUAUAUGAGGCAAACUUGAUUCAAGCAGUUGAUGUUGCAUCAGCAUCGAGUAUUUGAUGACAUGCCUGAUGCCCUGCAGACUUAUUUACCAUAUUUACCUUUUGCUUCAUUCAAUUUGAACUUCAAAGCUGAACUUGACUGAUAGAAAUGUGUUUUUAUUCCAAGACAAUUGCUUAUUUUUCUUUCCAGUGUGCAUAUCCAUUUCCUCAAAUCUAUAUUGAUGAUUGAAUAGUACUAAACAAAUUGUAUUUGUUUUAUUGCUUCUUAUAUUUUGAAUUGAAGAAAGUCAUUUGAAUAGUCUUUCAAUCAUAAACCGCUCUUCCAGUCAUGAAUGAAGAGUAAAGUUGAUCUAUUUAUUGACUUUGAACAAAAUAAAACAUUCAUGCCAGUUCAUGCAUUUAUAGUGAUAUAAUAUCCGGUGCCUGGCACACUUGAUUGUUUGAUUAUCAAUGCAAGGUUUCAUGUUCUCAUGAUAAGACCCGACUAAUCGAACGAUGAAACGCUCCGGACUCCAUUAGCCGUGCUAACCAGAGGCCACACAAGUCUGAGUGAGCGGAGUUCAUUUUGUGUCAGUCGACGUUCGGGAAGUUCGAGCCAAUCAUUGUGAUUAUUUGUGAGGAAGACAAUUCCUGGUGAGAACCAGCGGCUCUGCAGAGUGUAACUCGGGCCGAUUAAGUUAUGACAACAACCCCACUGCGUCCGAGCCGUCCGGACUUCAAUGCCUGCAGAGCCGCGCGCCCUCUAACGGAGAUAAACACCUCUUCAGAACCCGUCAUCAAUACAGAGACUCAUAGAAAGUAGCACAGAAAUCUACUCGGGUGAAUUGGCUCCAGCUACUUCCUUUCCUGUCUGGGUGCUUAAUGCACUUUAUGUUUUUGCAGUAUAUAGUACACAUUGUUCUGGAUGAAGCCCUGUGCUACCAUGAACCAUGCAGGCCCUUCUAUAACGUUGAUCACCAUGGUGAUAUCUAUGUUAUUGUCACAGAAAGCCGUUUCCUUUCACCUGCGGUUAACAAUUAUCGUUUAGUUGUCUUUCCCCAAUUUUUCUGCGUGGGCCGAGUAGUGUGGCGCUCCGAUGGCUGUGUGUGUUAUCUCACACGUGCCAUGCCGUCUUUGUGUGGCGUAUAGUGCGCACGGGAGCUGUAGUGCUUGUGCGUGAGGGAAGGUGCGCACUGGUUUGUUGCGGUGAUGUUCGCUUCCCUCUUCCCAGCACCUUGUGUUUGCACGUCCCUGCGCCUGUGUGGAAGUUGUGUGGGCACCCUCUGGAUUGCCUCACCGCCGAAGCACGCCGGACCCUGUUAUCCAACAAUCCAUCUGUGUUAUUGAUUUCUUAUUUUUUUUUCCCCCCUCUUUGUAGAGUUUCAUCUUUCCUCCACUUUUCUAUGGAACGAGGGAGAGCGAGAGAGAAGGGAGGGGCGAGCGAGGGGGGAGAGCAGAGAUCUGAGAGCUGGUAGAAGAGGGGGAGGAGGAGGAGGAGGAGGAGGGAUGGAGCAGCGGUGGGGCUUCUGAGGGUAGGGGUGUAAGAGGUGGGGGGGGGGGCACAGCCUGGACUAUGGAUGAGCAGAGAGAAAGCGGCGCUCUUGAAGUGUUGGAGCAUUUUUUUUUUCC
ensembl:lncRNA